ACUCCUACGGGAGGCACAGUGGGAAUAUUGCACAAUGGGCGCAAGCCUGAUGCAGCCAUGCCGCGUGUAUGAAGAAGGCCUUCGGGUUGUAAAGUACUUUCAGCAGUGAGGAAGGUAGUGUAGUUAAUAGCUGCAUUAUUUGACGUUAGCUGCAGAAGAAGCACCGGCUAACUCCGUGCCAGCAGCCGCGGUAAUACGGAGGGUGCGAGCGUUAAUCGGAAUUACUGGGCG
rnacentral:rRNA from 1 species